CCGCGGCAGUGAUGAUACAAACCUUCAGCUUGCAUGCCAGUUCUGCUUCUGAGAAUUCAUGACUGAGAAAGCUGAGAUAGAUCUGAGCCUUGA
rfam:Triticum aestivum genome assembly, contig: Triticum_aestivum_CS42_TGACv1_scaffold_320488_4BL